rnacentral:rRNA from 1 species
AACGUAGGAGACAAACGUUAUCCGGAAUUAUUGGGCGUAAAGAGCUCGUAGGCGGUUUGUCGCGUCUGCCGUGAAAGUCCGGGGCUCAACUCCGGAUCUGCGGUGGGUACGGGCAGACUAGAGUGAUGUAGGGGAGACUGGAAUUCCUGGUGUAGCGGUGAAAUGCGCAGAUAUCAGGAGGAACACCGAUGGCGAAGGCAAGUCUCUGGGCAUUAACUGACGCUGAGGAGCGAAAGCAUGGGGAGCGAACAGG